rnacentral:lncRNA from 1 species
UAUUAUUCUACUUAUCACAUAAAAAGAUAAAAAAGAUGGCUUUGAUUCUCAAGUUAUACGUUGUGUUUAUAUUUCUUUUCUUAUUUUUUGUUGCAUCAAAGGCUAAUGGUGAGCUGUUUCUUCUUCAAAUUUUAUUUUCUUUUAUUUACUUAUUUGUUUGUACAUAAAAUAUUUGUCUCAUUUUAACAAUAUAAUUUUUUUUAUUAUUUAGGAAUUAAGAAUUGUGAACAUAUCUUACAGAUUGUGAACAAGAUUCUGAUUGCAAGUGCAUUGUGCACGAGGUAAGCAAGUGUGUUAAUGUUUUUGUAGAGUGUGUUACCGUACUUAAAACAAUGACAAAUACGUCUUGAAUAGAUGAAUAAAUAUUGUACCUAAACAAGAUCUAUGAAUAUUAUAUUUUAAGAUAAUAAACAAAUAUAAAUAAAAUUACAAAAAAUAUUAUUAAUAAUGGUCAUCUAUUUUAUUAAAUGAAGAAGUAUGGAUGUGACCUCUAUUUUAUGCAAAUCAUAUAUAUAUAUA